AUGGAAUCACAGACCCAGGUCCUCAUGUUCCUGCUGCUCUGGGUAUCUGGUACCUGUGGGGACAUCAUGAUGACUCAGUCUCCAUCCUCCCUGGCUGUGUCAGCAGGAGAGAAGGUCACUAUGAGCUGCAAGUCCAGUCGGAGUCUUUUUUGGAAUGGAAACAACUACUUGGCCUGGUACCAGCAAAAACUAGGACAGUCUCCUAAACUGCUGUUCUAUUAUGCAUCCACCAGAGCAUCUGGGGUCCCUGAUCGCUUCAUAGGCAGUGGAUCUGGGACAGAUUUCACUCUGACCAUCAGCAGUGUGAAGGAUGAAGACCUAGCAGUUUAUUACUGUCAACACCAUUAUGAUAGCCUUCCCCCACACAGUGCUUCAGUCUCCUACAUAAAACUCCUUGAGUGUUUAAACAGAUGUGUACAUGACAUGGCCCUGGGCAUGCACACUUCCUUCUUCUGCUUCAGAGCUGGCAUGCCUGAAUUAAUGAAGAAAAAGUUUUAUAGAGCCCAGUAA